rnacentral:rRNA from 1 species
UACGAGGGGGGCGAGCGUUGUUCGGAAUUAUUGGGCGUAAAGAGCUCGUAGGCGGUCUGUCGCGUCGGCUGUGAAAUCCCGAGGCUCAACCUCGGGUCUGCAGUCGAUACGGGGCAAACUAGAGUAUUGCAGGGGAGACUGGAAUUCCUGGUGUAGCGGUGGAAUGCGCAGAUAUCAGGAGGAACACCGAUGGCGAAGGCAGAUCUCUGGGCCGUAACUGACGCUGAGGAGCGAAAGCAUGGGGGAGCGAACAGG